rnacentral:miRNA from 1 species
AUUACGGUCUGUGUGCCAUAGC